AUGACAGGAGUGGACCAGGUGAAGAUGGCAGAACUGGCUGACCAGGAGAUCGUGGUGGAAACAGGCCUAACUGCUGGGAGUGAUGUCAACCAGCCAGACAUGCUGUGGAGAAACCAGGGUGACAAUGCAACAAUCGAGUGCAAACACUCCAAGGGUGCUAGCUAUUACCAGAUGUACUGGUAUAGACAGCUUCCUGGAGAAACUAUGAAACAGAUUGUUUUCACUAUUGCAAACUCCAAACCCGACUUUGAGGCUGAAUUCAGAAGUGAAAAAUUCUCAGUGACCAAGACCGAUGCUCUCAGUGGGACGUUCACAGUGAGCAAGCUGGUUCCAGGAGAUAAAGGCCUGUAUUUCUGUGCUGUAAGUGAGCACAGUGAUGGAAACAACCCGAAAGCCUGA